rnacentral:rRNA from 1 species
UGGGGAAUUUUGGACAAUGGGGGAAACCCUGAUCCAGCCAUCCCGCGUGUGCGAUGAAGGCCUUCGGGUUGUAAAGCACUUUUGGCAGGAAAGAAACGUCAUGGGUUAAUACCCCGUGAAACUGACGGUACCUGCAGAAUAAGCACCGGCUAACUACGUGCCAGCAGCCGCGGUAAUACGUAGGGUGCAAGCGUUAAUCGGAAUUACUGGGCGUAAAGCGUGCGCAGGCGGUUCGGAAAGAAAGAUGUGAAAUCCCAGAGCUCAACUUUGGAACUGCAUUUUUAACUACCGGGCUAGAGUGUGUCAGAGGGAGGUGGAAUUCCGCGUGUAGCAGUGAAAUGCGUAGAUAUGCGGAGGAACACCGAUGGCGAAGGCAGCCUCCUUGGAUAACACUGACGCUCAUGCACGAAAGCGUGGGGAGCAAACAGG